rnacentral:rRNA from 1 species
AUACCCGCAGCCCAAGUGGUGGUCGAUUUUAUUGAGUCUAAAACGUUCGUAGCCGGUUCAUUAAAUCCUUGGGUAAAUCGGAUGGCUUAACUAUCCGAAUUCCGGGGAGACUGGUGAACUUGGGACCGGGAGAGGCAAGAGGUACUUUUGGGGUAGGGGUAAAAGCCUGUAAUCCUAAAAGGACCACCGGUGGCGAAGGCGUCUUGCUAGAACGGAUCCGACGGUGAGGGACGAAGCCCUGGGUCGCAAACGGGAUUAGAUACCCCGGUAGUCCAGGGUGUAAACGCUGCAGACUUGGUGUUGGGGACCCUUCGGGGGUGUUCAGUGCCGGAGAGAAGUUGUUAAGUCUGCUACUUGGGGAGUACGUCCGCAAGGAUGAAACUUAAAUGAAUUGGCGGGG